rnacentral:rRNA from 1 species
CACGUAAGUUGCGAGCGUUGUUCGGAAUUAUUGGGCGUAAAGGGCAUGUAGGCGGUUCUGCAAGUCUGGUGUGAAAUGCCGGGGCUCAACCCCGGACUGCGUUGGAAACUGCAGAACUUGAGUCGCUGGGGGGCGAGCCAGAAUUCCAGGUGUAGGGGUGGAAAUCUGUAGAUAUCUGGAAGAAUACCAAUGGCGAAGGCAGGCUGCCAGCAGAUGACUGACGCUGAGGUGCGAAGGUGCGGGGAGGCAAACAGGAUUAGAUACCCUGGUAGUCCGCACAGUCAACUAUGUACACUAGGUGUCCGCACAUGAGUGUGGGUGCCGAAGCAAGCGCGAUAAGUGUACCGCCUGGGGAGUAUGCCCGCAAGGGU